AGCAUCUUAGCUAAGUGGAAUAGCGCCAGGCUCAUAUGGCAAUCACAUUCAAAUGUGAUUCGCCAGUGCGACCUGGAGGUCACAAGAUCGAAACUUGUAGAUGCUA